UAAGUUAAUAAGGGCGCACGGUGGAUGCCUUGGCACUAGGAGCCGACGAAGGACGUGACAAACGACGAUAUGCCUUGGGUAGCUGUAAGUAAGCGAUGAUCCAGGGAUUUCCGAAUGGGGGAACCCAACAGGUAAUACCUGUUACCUACAUCUGUUAAGGAUGUGAGGAGGAAGACGCAGUGAACUGAAACAUCUAAGUAGCUGCAGGAAGAGAAAGCAAAAGCGAUUGCCUUAGUAGCGGCGAGCGAAACGGCAGAAGGGCAAACCGAAGAGUUUACUCUUCGGGGUUGUAGGACUGCAAUGUGGACUCAAAGAUUAUAGAAGAAUGAUUUGGGAAGAUCAGCCAAAGAGAGUAAUAGCCUCGUAUUUAAAAUAGUCUUUGUACUUAGCAGUAUCCUGAGUACGGCGGGACACGUGAAAUCCCGUCGGAAUCUGGGAGGACCAUCUCCCAACCCUAAAUACUCCCUAGUGACCGAUAGUGAACCAGUACCGUGAGGGAAAGGUGAAAAGCACCCCGGGAGGGGAGUGAAAUAGAACCUGAAACCGUGUGCCUACAACAAGUUCGAGCCCGUUAAUGGGUGAGAGCGUGCCUUUUGUAGAAUGAACCGGCGAGUUACGUUAUGAUGCGAGGUUAAGUUGAAGAGACGGAGCCGUAGGGAAACCGAGUCUGAAUAGGGCGCCUUAGUAUCAUGACGUAGACCCGAAACCAUGUGACCUACCCAUGAGCAGGUUGAAGGUGCGGUAAGACGCACUGGAGGACCGAACCAGGGCACGUUGAAAAGUGCUUGGAUGACUUGUGGGUAGCGGAGAAAUUCCAAACGAACUUGGAGAUAGCUGGUUCUCUCCGAAAUAGCUUUAGGGCUAGCGUCGACAUUAGAGAUUCUUGGAGGUAGAGCACUGUUUGGGUGAGGGGUCCAUCCCGGAUUACCAAUCUCAGAUAAACUCCGAAUGCCAAUGAAUUAUGGUCGGCAGUCAGACUGCGAGUGCUAAGAUCCGUAGUCGAAAGGGAAACAGCCCAGACCACCAGCUAAGGUCCCAAAAUAAUUGUUAAGUGGAAAAGGAUGUGGGGUUGCACAGACAACUAGGAUGUUAGCUUAGAAGCAGCUAUUCAUUCAAAGAGUGCGUAAUAGCUCACUAGUCGAGUGACCCUGCGCCGAAAAUGUACCGGGGCUAAAACAAUUUACCGAAGCUGUGGAUACCUUUAUAGGUAUGGUAGGAGAGCGUUCUAUGUGUGAUGAAGGUAUACCGUGAGGAGUGCUGGAACGCAUAGAAGUGAGAAUGCCGGUAUGAGUAGCGAAAGACAGGUGAGAAUCCUGUCCACCGUAAGACUAAGGUUUCCAGGGGAAGGCUCGUCCGCCCUGGGUUAGUCGGGACCUAAGGAGAGACCGAAAGGUGUAUCCGAUGGACAACAGGUUGAUAUUCCUGUACUAGAGUAUGUAGUGAUGGAGGGACGCAGUAGGCUAACUAAAGCAGACGAUUGGAAGAGUCUGUCUAAGCAGUGAGGUGUGAAUUGAGUCAAAUGCUUAAUUCUAUAACAUUGAGCUGUGAUGGGGAGCGAAGUUUAGUAGCGAAGUUAGUGACGUCACACUGCCAAGAAAAGCUUCUAGCGUUUAAACAUACUCUACCCGUACCGCAAACCGACACAGGUAGUCGAGGCGAGUAGCCUCAGGUGAGCGAGAGAACUCUCGUUAAGGAACUCGGCAAAAUGACCCCGUAACUUCGGGAGAAGGGGUGCUGACUUAAAGUCAGCCGCAGUGAAUAGGCCCAAGCAACUGUUUAUCAAAAACACAGCUCUCUGCUAAAUCGUAAGAUGAUGUAUAGGGGGUGACGCCUGCCCGGUGCUGGAAGGUUAAGAGGAGUGCUUAGCGUAAGCGAAGGUAUGAAUUGAAGCCCCAGUAAACGGCGGCCGUAACUAUAACGGUCCUAAGGUAGCGAAAUUCCUUGUCGGGUAAGUUCCGACCCGCACGAAAGGCGUAAUGAUUUGGGCACUGUCUCAACGAGAGACUCGGUGAAAUUUUAGUACCUGUGAAGAUGCAGGUUACCCGCGACAGGACGGAAAGACCCCAUGGAGCUUUACUGCAGUUUGAUAUUGAGUGUCUGUACCACAUGUACAGGAUAGGUAGGAGUCUAAGAAAUCGGGACGCCAGUUUCGAAGGAGACGCUGUUGGGAUACUACCCUUGUGUUAUGGCCACUCUAACCCAGAUAGGUGAUCCCUAUCGGAGACAGUGUCUGACGGGCAGUUUGACUGGGGCGGUCGCCUCCUAAAAGGUAACGGAGGCGCCCAAAGGUUCCCUCAGAAUGGUUGGAAAUCAUUCGCAGAGUGUAAAGGUAUAAGGGAGCUUGACUGCGAGAGCUACAACUCGAGCAGGGACGAAAGUCGGGCUUAGUGAUCCGGUGGUUCCGUAUGGAAGGGCCAUCGCUCAACGGAUAAAAGCUACCCUGGGGAUAACAGGCUUAUCUCCCCCAAGAGUUCACAUCGACGGGGAGGUUUGGCACCUCGAUGUCGGCUCGUCGCAUCCUGGGGCUGUAGUCGGUCCCAAGGGUUGGGCUGUUCGCCCAUUAAAGCGGCACGCGAGCUGGGUUCAGAACGUCGUGAGACAGUUCGGUCCCUAUCCGUCGCGGGCGUAGGAAAUUUGAGAGGAUCUGCUCCUAGUACGAGAGGACCAGAGUGGACUUACCGCUGGUGUACCAGUUGUCUUGCCAAAGGCAUCGCUGGGUAGCUAUGUAGGGAAGGGAUAAACGCUGAAAGCAUCUAAGUGUGAAACCCACCUCAAGAUGAGAUUUCCCAUGAUUAUAUAUCAGUAAGAGCCCUGAGAGAUGAUCAGGUAGAUAGGUUAGAAGUGGAAGUGUGGCGACACAUGUAGCGGACUAAUACUAAUAGCUCGAGGACUUAUCCA
rnacentral:rRNA from 1 species